rnacentral:rRNA from 1 species
UGCAGUCGAGCGGAUGAAGAGAGUUUGCUCUCUGAUUCAGCGGCGGACGGGUGAGUAAUGCCUAGGAAUCUGCCUGGUAGUGGGGGACAACGUCUCGAAAGGGACGCUAAUACCGCAUACGUCCUACGGGAGAAAGCAGGGGACCUUCGGGCCUUGCGCUAUCAGAUGAGCCUAGGUCGGAUUAGCUAGUUGGUGAGGUAAUGGCUCACCAAGGCGACGAUCCGUAACUGGUCUGAGAGGAUGAUCAGUCACACUGGAACUGAGACACGGUCCAGACUCCUACGGGAGGCAGCAGUGGGGAAUAUUGGACAAUGGGCGAAAGCCUGAUCCAGCCAUGCCGCGUGUGUGAAGAAGGUCUUCGGAUUGUAAAGCACUUUAAGUUGGGAGGAAGGGCAGUAAAUUAAUACUUUGCUGUUUUGACGUUACCGACAGAAUAAGCACCGGCUAACUCUGUGCCAGCAGCCGCGGUAAUACAGAGGGUGCAAGCGUUAAUCGGAAUUACUGGGCGUAAAGCGCGCGUAGGUGGUUUGUUAAGUUGGAUGUGAAAUCCCCGGGCUCAACCUGGGAACUGCAUUCAAAACUGACAAGCUAGAGUAUGGUAGAGGGUGGUGGAAUUUCCUGUGUAGCGGUGAAAUGCGUAGAUAUAGGAAGGAACACCAGUGGCGA